GAUGAACGCUGGCGGCGUGCCUAAUACAUGCAAGUCGAGCGAACGGACGAGAAGCUUGCUUCUCUGAUGUUAGCGGCGGACGGGUGAGUAACACGUGGAUAACCUACCUAUAAGACUGGGAUAACUUCGGGAAACCGGAGCUAAUACCGGAUAAUAUUUUGAACCGCAUGGUUCAAAAGUGAAAGACGGUCUUGCUGUCACUUAUAGAUGGAUCCGCGCUGCAUUAGCUAGUUGGUAAGGUACGGCUUACCAAGGCAACGAUGCAUAGCCGACCUGAGAGGGUGAUCGGCCACACUGGAACUGAGACACGGUCCAGACUCCUACGGGAGGCAGCUGUAGGGAAUCUUCCGCAAUGGGCGAAAGCCUGACGGAGCAACGCCGCGUGAGUGAUGAAGGUCUUCGGAUCGUAAAACUCUGUUAUUAGGGAAGAACAUAUGUGUAAGUAACUGUGCACAUCUUGACGGUACCUAAUCAGAAAGCCACGGCUAACUACGUG
rnacentral:rRNA from 1 species